rnacentral:tRNA from 1 species
AGCCCCAGGGUGUAAACAUAUAAGAUUGCAAAUCUUAAGAGGCAGGCUAAUACCUGCUGGGGCUU